ACUCAAAUGAAUAGACGGGGGCCCGCACAAGCAGUGGAGUAUGUGGUUUAAUUCGAAGCAACGCGAAGAACCUUACCAGGGCUUGACAUCCCUCGAAUUACGUAGAAAUACGUAAGACCUACGGGACGAGGAGACAGGUGGUGCAUGGUUGUCGUCAGCUCGUGUCGUGAGAUGUUGGGUUAAGUCCCGCAACGAGCGCAACCCCUGUUGUUAGUUGCCAUCAAUUAAAGUUGGGCACUCUAACGAGACUGCCGGUGACAAAUCGGAGGAAGGUGGGGACGACGUCAAAUCAUCAUGCCCCUUAUGUCCUGGGCUACACACGUACUACAAUGGCUACUACAGAGGGUAGCGAAGCCGUAAGGCGAAGCGAAUCCCAUAAAGGUAGUCCCAGUUCGGAUUGUGGUCUGCAACUCGACCACAUGAAGUAGGAAUUGCUAGUAAUGGCAGGUCAGCAUACUGCCGUGAAUACGUUCCCGGGCCUUGCACACACCGCCCGU
rnacentral:rRNA from 1 species